AACGUACGCUGGCGGCACGCCUAACACAUGCAAGUCGAACGAAGUAGCAAUACUUAGUGGCAGACGGGUGAGUAACAUGUGGGUAUCUGCCCUUUGGCCUGGAAUAACACGAGGAAACUUGUGCUAAUACCGGAUAAGUCUUUACGGAGAAAGCUUUAUGCACCAUUGGAUGAGCCCGCACUUGAUUAGUUUGUUGGUGGGGUAAUGGCCUACCAAGACUGUGAUCAAUAGCUGAUUUGAGAGGAUGAUCAGCCACAUUGGGACUGAGACACGGCCCAAACUCCUACGGGAGGCAGCAGUGGGGAAUCUUGCACAAUGGAGGAAACUCUGAUGCAGCGAUGCCGCGUGAGUGAAGAAGGCCCUUGGGUUGUAAAGCCCUUUCGUCGGGGAAGAAAAUGACUGUACCCGAAUAAGAAGGUCCGGCUAACUUCGUGCCAGCAGCCGCGGUAAUACGAAGGGACCUAGCGUAGUUCGGAAUUACUGGGCUUAAAGAGUUCGUAGGUGGUUGAAAAAGUUAGUGGUGAAAUCCCAGAGCUUAACUCUGGAACUGCCAUUAAAACUUUUCAGCUAGAGUAUGAUAGAGGAAAGCAGAAUUUCUAGUGUAGAGGUGAAAUUCGUAGAUAUUAGAAAGAAUACCAAUUGCGAAGGCAGCUUUCUGGAUCAUUACUGACACUGAGGAACGAAAGCAUGGGUAGCGAAGAGGAUUAGAUACCCUCGUAGUCCAUGCCGUAAACGAUGUGUGUUAGACGUUGGAAAUUUAUUUUCAGUGUCGCAGCGAAAGCGAUAAACACACCGCCUGGGGAGUGCGACCGCAAGGUUAAAACUCAAAUGAAUUGACGGGGGCCCGCACAAGUAGUGGAGCAUGUGGUUUAAUUCGAAGAUACGCGCAGAACCUUACCAACACUUGACAUGUUCGUCGCGACUCUAAGAGAUUAGAGUUUUCGGUUCGGCCGGACGAAACACAGGUGCUGCAUGGCUGUCGUCAGCUCGUGUCGUGAGAUGUUGGGUUAAGUCCCGCAACGAGCGCAACCCUCACUUUUAGUUGCCAUCAUUAAGUUGGGCACUCUGAAAGAACUGCCAGUGAUAAGCUGGAGGAAGGUGGGGAUGACGUCAAGUCCUCAUGGCCCUUACGUGUUGGGCUACACACGUGCUACAAUGGUAUCUACAACAGGAAGCAAGACUGCGAGGUCAAGCAAAUCCUUAAAAGAUACCUCAGUUCGGAUUGCACUCUGCAACUCGAGUGCAUGAAGCUGGAAUUACUAGUAAUCGUGGAUCAGCGUGCCACGGUGAAUGCGUUCCCGGGUCU
rnacentral:rRNA from 1 species